ensembl:misc_RNA 7SK 7SK RNA
GGAUGUGAGGGUGAUCUGGCUGUGACUUCUGUCACCAGGGUUCAGGUGGCUGAUCUGGCCGGCUGGGUAGUGUCUCUUGCACCACUCAUAGCUUCAUAUGCAUCCUUCCUGAAGCUGCACACUUGGUCAAAGAGGACAAGAGGACAAUCUUCCCAGACAGAGGAGGACCAUUUCUUCGUCAAGGGCAUAGGAGUAGCCAGCCUCUGCUAGAACCUCCAAAACAGCCAAGCUCAUUGAAGUUCUUUGCUAGUUACAGUGAUGGUACAGGAAGGGAGUGCGGAAGAUGCCAAUAAGAUCCUGAACAGAAUCCGCACCAUGCUUAGGCACAUUAAGGACAUUAAGC